AAUAGUGAAUAAUUUAAAUGAAUCCUGGGUUAUUCGAUACAUUUUUCACAUCUGUAUCAUCUAAAAAAGCAUCAAGUUUACUGUUUUUCAUCUAAGAACUCUGAAGGUUUUUUUAAAAAAAGAACUGUAGAAAAUCAAAUCCUACCUGUUUUUAUUUCAUCACAACCUGCUAGUGAUUCAGAUAUGGCCUGUAUUAUGAGUGCCCUCAGGAAAAGUAUUUGCAAGCCACUUCUGCCAAUCCAAUCAAACAAGGAGAUGUUUUCUUCCCUUUCGCCUCUGACUAUCCAAGUGUUUUUAAAGUAUCUUAUUACCUUUGGAUGAGCUUCUAUUAAUCUAUUAACAGACAUUCAUAGCUGCAUAUUUUCCUUAUGUCACAUAAAAUGCUGAAAACAUUAUACAUCAAAAAGUGGUUUCAAGCUGUUAGGCAACAUAUGUGCUUCCUGGAAGAUCAAGAGUUUGAAGGCUGUUUCACAUAAAAGAUGCCCGGGUGAAAAGAGACCAGGGCAGAGAAAAGAGCAAGCUUCCCACAUCAACAAGCCAGUUUAUCAUAGUUUCUAAGGAGUCAAAUAAGACACAGACAGAAGAAACAGGCCAAGUCAGGAGCAAUCAAAUGAGGAAGGAACCACUUAAAAAUCAUUUUAAGAAGACUCCAGCUAUGAAGCACUGACUUCAUGUCCAGCUCUGCAUGUGAAGCAUUGGCACCCAAAAGGACUGCAGUAUCAACCAUGAACUGGAACAAGGCAUCUCUGUACUACAGUGGGAUUUUGGAAUUCAAGGAAAAGAUGAUGAAUCAUUUUGAUGGAAAAUGAAGUUCAAGCACAAGACCUUUGUCCCCCAUGGUAUGCAGAGGAAUUGAGAAGGAUGAAAUGAAUGAAGAGACAUCUAGAGUGCCACUGGCAGAAGAUAAGAAACAACUCAAUCAAACAUAGGUGAGAGCUGUUAUUAAGGCUAUUCAUGGCAAUCUGAGUGACGAAGCGUAAGUAUUUCAGCGCACUAAUUGUACCUGCAGAUAAUC